UACGGAGGAUCCAAGCGUUAUCCGGAUUUAUUGGGUUUAAAGGGUGCGUAGGCGGAUUAGUAAGUCAGUGGUGAAAGCCUGCAGCUCAACUGUAGAACUGCCAUUGAUACUGCUAGUCUUGAAUAUAGUUGAGGUAGGCGGAAUAUGACAUGUAGUGGUGAAAUACUUAGAUAUGUCAUAGAACACCGAUUGCGAAGGCAGCUAACGAAACUAUAACUGACGCUGAGGCACGAAAGUGCGGGGAUCAAACAGG
rnacentral:rRNA from 1 species